CAAGAACAAGAAAACGUGUUUAGAUGUUUGAAUAUAUAUUUGAUACAGAUUGAUGACAUCGCAAUUAUAGUUUGCACCCACCUGAGUGCUGUAGGCACAAGCGAUUUUUACGAACCUGAACUGAUGAAAAAAGGUUUUACAUCAUACUCCGAUAUGAAUGCUUAUGAGACUAGAACGAAGAUUAGAUAAGAAGUCUUCGCGGUAUUCAAACGGCCAUUAUAUAGGGUGAUUUUAACACAGGUUUUGCAUAUAAACCUCAGCUUCGCUCGGUAAUACCAGACAGCUACGUUGAAAUGCUAAAAAGAUUUACCACAAGGCCAGCUCUGAAGUUUACGUACCGUGACCCUUCAAACAGAAAGAUUCAGUCUGUUAUUGACCAUAUUUUUGUCAAGAACCUUAUCAUACGUAAAACCAAGAGAGUGUUUGGUCCCAAAACUGGAGAGGCUCUAAUGAGUGAUCACGUUGGUGUGCAAGCCGUGGUGAAAGCAGCAUGAUAAUUGCACCGAGGAACAUACAGCAUUUUAAAAUCUUUUGACUUAUGUGUUAA
rnacentral:lncRNA from 1 species